ensembl:lncRNA
GAGAUUUCCGCGGAAGAGCCUGUUAUGGAGGAUCACUAACAGGAGCGUGGGAAGACUCCAGAAUCCACUCUGGCUGGAAUCCGGUGGAUACAGCAGUGUUACAGUUCUCCACAGUCGCUCUCCACAUGGGUCAGUGGGACCACGCAGCACUCUGCUAAUGUGUGGACUCUGACCAGCAACAUCCAGCAAGACCCAGACAGCGUUUUCUAUCUCCCAGCUGGAGUUUUUUGUUUGUCUGUGACUGGAGAGUCACAGAUUUUUGUUGAGGCUGGAGGAACAGCCUCACACUCGCAGAGGUUAAUACACGCUACUGAUCCCUGAUGGGAGAAUCAUCACCUCUGCCAACAAAGAAGCCUGGUGGAUGUUUGUUUACAGUCUGAUGAUGGGACAUCAUGCUCUGCAUCUUCAAAGUUUGUCUCUUGAUUAUUAUUCAUACACAGUAAUGUGAAGUAUGCUUAUAUCUAGUAUAACGGGACCAACGUGGUGCUCUUCAUUUAUGGAGGCUGUUGAGUCUGAAUGUUGGAUGUUGUGUAUCUCUUGUUCUCUGGGCUUUGUUGUCCUCAGUCUUUUUGCAGGAUCAGAAAACAAAACCAGGAUGACCGUAAAUGUUUCUUCUCCAAUUGGAUGAUGAUAAGACUGUGACACGGGAUGCCACCUUUAGUCUUGUGAUGAAGCAAAGCUCAGGAAAAAGUGUGAUUAAAUGGUACCCACAUGUGUGCUGCUGAGAAGGAUGUACAGGGGCACCUGCAGCCAAAUCCAAGCCUCCUCAGCAACUUCAAGUCUGUCAGCGUGCUGAGGUCACAGAAACAAGAAAAGCAGCUUCAGACUUCAGAGUGUUGUUUACAGUUUUCUGUCAUCAUGAUCUCCCCUGAAGUUUAUCACUAUUAGGCAAGCAAGCAGAGCGGCCGUUUGUGCUCACAGAUGGUGACGGUGUGGAGAGACGGUGGUGUUUCCUCAGAAGAACUAGCAGAGUCACAACGGGCACGAGUCCAUCUCACCACCUUGACUUGCUGACUGAUGCUCGUCUGCACUGCACAGAGGAAAUCAACUGACCGAGAUGGGCAGGAUAUCAGUCUUGGACUGUCUAACCUGCCGGAGCAGUACUGAAUGAUCACCACACAUGAGCAUGUUCCUGCAACAUUCAGCAUCUGAUCUGCCAUCUGUGUGCUUCUGCUUUUGUGUCAAAUGUCAAACAGCUGGAGAGGAAACUACACCAGUGUACUGGGAUGUUUCACCAACACGUGCCAGACGCUGUUCCUUCAUGGUGACAUCACCAGAGACAGUCCCGCCCACCUCAGGACCUCUCCAUUGAUCAUGAUGAUUAUAAUAAUGACAGCGAGCGGAACUAAGACUGUAAAAAUCCAUAACCAGAAUGUUUAGAUGCUUUCUAAUUAUUAAUGAAUACUGAGAGUCUCUUUCUGUGUUUUGUCUGGGUUUUUUUUUGUUUUUUUUUUACCUCAUUUGUUACUAACAAAGUUCACCAAACUCACACAGUUUACAUUCUGUAUGCUUCCAUCUUUACCAGCCACACUCUUAACUGCAAUUAAGAAAAUAAUCCUUAGAAAUCUUCGUUUUUCUCUUUUGUAAUUGAUGAUAAUUCAGUGAAUAUACUGCGCUGCUUCCUUUUGUUUCAUCUCACAUUGCUUUAAGUUUUUCAGUGUCCAGUUAUUUUUUACUGCUGUUUGAAUUCUCUGUAUGUUUGACCCUGUAGACUGUUUAAUGGACUGCUUGUCUUCCUG